rnacentral:lncRNA from 1 species
UUAGUAACACCCAGGUUAGUCCUACUUAAUUCUUACCUGCAGCCAAAGUGGACUUAGCAUCUCCUUGCAUGCCUGGUAAAGUCAAGGGUUUUCAGCCAGGGCCUGUGUAUAAAGCAGAAGCAGCACAGAGUCUGGUUUGAAGCUUAGUGCUUGGGUUCAGACAGUUGUGGGUUACAAUCCCUUCUACACAUGUUCUCUGUGGAAACCAUUUGGUUCUCUGUGCUUGGAACUCGCCUGCAACGGGACAAAGCCAUCUCACCUAGACUGUUGUUAUGAAGAUUGAAUUAGGUGAUUCUGAGAGGCAUUUAUGCGUCCUCCCUGAGUAACAAUCCAUGAAAAGUGGGCGUCAUUGCUGAAGCUCAAGGAAGAAAUAUGAAAUUUGAUUAUAUCCUUAUUCACGGCAUUGGGUCACCAACUCAGCACUUUUUAUGAAAGUAGCAUCUGACCUGGCAAAGGCUGUGUCAUCUUAUUACCUCAGAAAGACAAAUUUACGGGGUCAGACGAUGGAUGGCUUGUAGAUUUCUCAAUGGGCUGGAAGGAAGGAGAGAAAAAGAGAGACAGGAGAGAGUACACAUUUAAUUCUGCUUCCCCUAGGGUGAUAUUUCCUUCCUCCCCUUCCAGGGUUCUCAAAAAGGCAUUCUAGGAAGUCCUGUAAAAUACAUGCUCAUAAAAAUCUCAUAAUUUCCACAAAUUGUUGAGAAUUUAAAACUCGGUUGGGAGUUUGCUGUUUCAGCCUGAGACACCGGGGUCACGUUUCAGUGCCUGCAGUCUUGAGACAGUACCAGGCAUCUGGGAUGAAGCUGAGGAAAGAAGAUGUGGGGGCCCUGCUGGCCUGCUCCUUCUCUCGAAAGACGCUUACCGGCUGCUGGUGUGUCACAGGGCUUUAGGAUUUGGAAAAACAGAGGGAUUUAAAAGAAGAUAGAAUGGUCAGAAUUUCGAGAACUGUGUGCUGAAGUGCCAUCUUUAGGGUGCUCAUAACACGGCCUUACAACAUUAGAGGUGCUGGAAUCAUGGAAGAGGCAUCUGGACUCUGUAAUGUCCUUCCCCCUGGAAAAUCUGCUCCAGAAGUGGGGGAUUGGGAGCUGUCAACAUAUGAGCCAUCUUUUGCUCCGUUCAAGAUGGUAGGGGCAUUCUCAACAUGCCCCUCACUCUGAUUCUGCCUCACUUUUAUUUUAGAAUUUUCCACUGCCUUUUCUGGAAUGUGCUUUUUCAACCCUCAAAAUCUGUAGAGAAGAAAUAAGCAGAAACCGAAAUGGCUUUCUGGUGUUCUCCAUGCUCUCAGCUUACUGGAAAAUCGAGCCGCAGGCUCGAGGCUGGACUUUAAGGCAGAGCACUGCAAUUAUAGUGCUAUGGCCUUGGCUUCCUUUCUCAUCACCCAGGUACAGUCCUGCAGUCCUCAGAGGAUGCCAGUCCCACACAGGGGGAUCCUUCUCCAUAGGAAAACCGAGGAACAAUGCAGGUUCGAGGUGCACAGUGGCUAAGCACACUCAGUCCUCAAGAUCUUUCCUCUCAAAUGCUAAUGCUACCUUCAGAUGGGCUGCUGCCUGCUACCAUUUCAACAUUGAGUCCUUUAAGAUGCCAUCAGAGAGAGGGGAAGCAAGAGGCCAAGAAAAAUGAAAGGCCCUGCAUGUUUUUCUUCGGGAAGGCUGUGCAGUCUGCUCUGAGGAGACAGAUCAACCUAGCCCUUCUCCAGGACGAACUCCGAAAACCACAGGAAUUCACGUUCAAAGGAUGACGCAUCUCAGAAUCAGUGAAUUUUAGGAAAAUGACUCGAUAACUGCAACGGUGAUGUCAUGUGUGUGUCUACUUUAGAGAGCAGAUGGUCGAUCUGGUGCUAAUUUGCCCAAUACGGUAGCUACGCGGCAAUGAAAUUCCAAAACUGGCACAAGGCGGGCCUGGUUCCAGGAUUUCCACGAAACUUGUGGGGCUACAGGCCAGUGGAACACUUCCAAAGGGCUUGACACCAGGCCAAUGGCCUUCUUAGAACACUGUCAUCAUUGAUUCUGUAUCUACAGAAGUCAUGUAACUGUGGCUGCCUCUUUUCAAUGGAAACAGAGCGAAAUACAACCUGGUCAGCUAAAUCGUGCUGACCUUAAAAACACUGCAUCCUCUUAGGCAACCACUUUGGCUUAUAAACCACAUGUACAAUAUUCCUGCUACUUCAAACAUGACUUUUUUAAUGAGCCAAAAAAAAAAAAAUCUAAGUUUGUAAAUAAACCGAAUUCAUUGCCAAAAAAAAAAAAAAAA